UGACCAGGGCCAGGUGAGAAUCCUGGCCAUAGGAACCUUCACUUUCUCCACAGAUGGAAACCUAGGUAGUCUGGCUCCAGAGUCUGUAUUCUCAUCUUCUAUUCUACACCAUCUCAAUUGUUUUUGGUUCAUUGAGAAUAUCAGUUACAGUUAGUAUAAAAAGGGAGGAGCUUCUGGAGAAACUUAAGAAAAUGUGCCCUAAGGAUAAAACGUGCACUUAUAUCUGACCACCAGAUGGAGUCCUGAGGGCAGUUGUUCCCUAACACAGAUUUGAUCUGCUGUUGAGCCACAACUCCCAGCAGCCACUCUGUUAACACAUAUAUUCAAUGAUAAAGGUUCUUAGGUUCACAGGUGAUAAGCAAAGCUACCAAAUAGGUAAGUUGUUUGGAGAAAUGGAUUUUACCCAAAAUGAAUCAAUAGUUUGCUUUAAGGAAACACUAUCCCUCAGGGUUUAAUUCAGAAGUGUGUCCCAGGAGGCAUGGAAAAGAAAAAAAAUGUCCAACAAUUUUUCCUACCCUCCAGGACUGGAGUAUUAGAAAGGGGGAGAAACCUUGCAAAUAAAUGCAUAAAUUUUGUUGAGAUAAGGGUAACACACCUUUUAAUUUUGUCUGAACAAUACCUGGUACUUUAAUAGUUUGUGGUGAUAGAAAAGUACUACGCUGUUUCCCAUUUAAGAACCCAUCUGAAGGGCUUAUCAAGGGUCCCUGCUUUGAGACCCAGCUUGCAUAUUGGAAUUGGGAUCUUGUUUUUACCAUUAAUUCUUUGUUUUUAUUACUAGGUAUAGGGAAAACAGAAGUUCCAUGGCCAGGAUCCUCACCUGAUCCUAAUCUACUUGCCCACUGUGCAUGUGCAGUGAUGUAAUACUUGGCCUACGGAGCAGGGCAUGCUUGCAUAUGUGUUGGCAUCUCCCAGAAAUAAUUGGAACAUUGAUAA